rnacentral:rRNA from 1 species
AUUGAACGCUGGCGGCAGGCUUAACACAUGCAAGUCGAGCGGAGAUGAGGUGCUUGCACCUUAUCUUAGCGGCGGACGGGUGAGUAAUGCUUAGGAAUCUGCCAUUUAGUGGGGGACAACAUUCCGAAAGGAAUGCUAAUACCGCAUACGUCCUACGGGAGAAAGCAGGGGAUCUUCGGACCUUGCGCUAAAUGAUGAGCCUAAGUCGGAUUAGCUAGUUGGUGGGGUAAAGGCCUACCAAGGCGACGAUCUGUAGCGGGUCUGAGAGGAUGAUCCGCCACACUGGGACUGAGAUACGGCCCAGACUCCUACGGGAGGCAGCAGUGGGGAAUAUUGGACAAUGGGCGGAAGCCUGAUCCAGCCAUGCCGCGUGUGUGAAGAAGGCCUUUUGGUUGUAAAGCACUUUAAGCGAGGAGGAGGUUACUAGUACUAAUACUACUGGAUAGUGGACGUUACUCGCAGAAUAAGCACCGGCUAACUCUGUGCCAGCAGCCGCCGCGGUAA